rfam:Lottia gigantea unplaced genomic scaffold LOTGIsca_10714, whole genome shotgun sequence.
UCCCAAGUGGUCUAGUGGUUAGGAUUUCGCGCUCUCACCGCGACGGCCGGGGUUCGAUUCCCCGCUUGGGAG